GUACGAAGGAAAGCAAGGGCCAGAUGGAAAAGAUAUGCAAAUUGCAAUCAAUACAAGCAAAUUAACUGAAGAUUGUCUUAAGGGUCAAGAGGAAAGAGUAAAGGACUUUAUUACACUUGACACCCAGCUUCUCUAUUAUGCAAUUACCAUGAGCUAAUUGUGCUCUUUCAGGCUUUCUUCUGUUUUGGUGCUGGCGGAGGGAAGACGAGGCGGAAGACCCAAGCAGCCAAUAUUGCUCCUACGAAGGGGCAAAUCCAAUAAACAUAGAAUUGUUCCCAUGUAUCGUGCCUUUUGUUUAUAUAUGCCCACCCAAAUGCAUUAGCAGGAUUCAUGGAAGGCCCAGU
rnacentral:misc_RNA from 1 species